rnacentral:pre_miRNA from 1 species
AUGUGGCAGUUCUGCCGGUCUGCAUACCAGUGGCAGCAUUUCCACGCGAUUUGGUUGAAAAUGCACCUACCUGGUAUGCAGACCAUGUCUGCGUCUCGGCCGUU